rnacentral:rRNA from 1 species
GAUGAACGCUGGCGGCGUGCCUAAUACAUGCAAGUCGAGCGAACAGAUGAGGAGCUUGCUCCUCUGACGUUAGCGGCGGACGGGUGAGUAACACGUGGAUAACCUACCUAUAAGACUGGGAUAACUUCGGGAAACCGGAGCUAAUACCGGAUAAUAUAUUGAACCGCAUGGUUCAAUAGUGAAAGACGGUUUUGCUGUCACUUAUAGAUGGAUCCGCGCCGCAUUAGCUAGUUGGUAAGGUAACGGCUUACCAAGGCAACGAUGCGUAGCCGACCUGAGAGGGUGAGCGGCCACACUGGAACUGAGACACGGUCCAGACUCCUACGGGAGGCAGCAGUAGGGAAUCUUCCGCAAUGGGCGAAAGCCUGACGGAGCAACGCCGCGUGAGUGAUGAAGGUCUUCGGAUCGUAAAACUCUGUUAUUAGGGAAGAACUAAUGUGUAAGUAACUAUGCACGUCUUGACGGUACCUAAUCAGAAAGCCACGGCUAACUACGUG